rfam:Prevotella tannerae ATCC 51259 genomic scaffold Scfld2, whole genome shotgun sequence.
GCGGCAAUAGCUCAGUUGGUAGAGCGCAACCUUGCCAAGGUUGAGGUCGCGGGUCCGAAUCCCGUUUGCCGCU